UCCACUUUACAAGCUAAUUAUCAGAAAUUAACCCAUCGAGAUUACGAAUUCGGGAUUUCGAGAGAGGAAUUAAAAACAAAUCUCAAACAUCAAUGGAAAGAAACACUAAUCAGAAAACUCAUCAAAAUAAAAUCCCUAGGCAAGAUUUGAUUCUUCCCAUAUAACCCUUUUGUGCAGAAAAAUAAACCAUUGAUUUUGUCAUUGUACUUGUUAAGCUUAUAUUAUAGUAGUAAAGUACUACCAUUAACUUCUAGCUAUAAAUUCUAUAGUACACUGAAUAAAUGAUAUAUAAUGAACAAAAC
rnacentral:lncRNA from 1 species